rnacentral:rRNA from 1 species
GACGAACCGUGCGAACGUUAUUCGGAAUCACUGGGCUUAAAGCGCGUGUAGGUGGGGCGGCACGUCGGUCGCUGAAAUCCCCCGGCUUAACCGGGGAACGGGCGCCGAUACGACCGCCCUUGAGGGCGUAGGGGGGGCUGGAACUUCCGGUGGAGCGGUGAAAUGCGUUGAGAUCGGAAGGAACGCCCGUGGCGAAAGUGAGCCCCUGGACGUCAUCUGACACUGAGACGCGAAAGCCAGGGGAGCGAACGGG